GGGAUUACCUCAGUAACGGCGAGUGAAGCGGUAACAGCUCAAAUUUGAAAGCUGCCAUCAGGCCGCGUUGUAAUUUGUAGAAGCUGCUUUGGGUGUCGGCCCGGUCUAAGUUCCUUGGAACAGGACGUCAUAGAGGGUGAGAAUCCCGUAUGUGAUCGGUGCCGUUGCCCGUGUAAAGCGCUUUCGACGAGUCGAGUUGUUUGGGAAUGCAGCUCAAAAUGGGUGGUAAAUUUCAUCUAAAGCUAAAUAUUGGCCAGAGACCGAUAGCGCACAAGUAGAGUGAUCGAAAGAUGAAAAGCACUUUGGAAAGAGAGUUAAACAGUACGUGAAAUUGUUGAAAGGGAAGCGCUUGCAACCAGACUUGCGGGCGGUCGAUCAUCCGAGGUUCUCCCCGGUGCACUCGAUCGUUCUCAGGCCAGCAUCGGUUUCCGGGGUGGGAUAAAGACGGUGGGAAUGUGGCUCUUCGGAGUGUUAUAGCCCACUGUGCAAUGCCGCCUCCGGGGACCGAGGACCGCGCUUCGGCUAGGAUGCUGGCGUAAUGGUUGUAAGCGACCCGUCUUGAAACACGGACCAAGGAGUCUAACAUCUAUGCGAGUGUUUGGGUGUCAAACCCAUACGCGUAAUGAAAGUGAACGGAGGUAAGAACCCUUUAGGGCGCAUUAUCGACCGAUCCUGAUGUCUUCGGAUGGAUUUGAGUAAGAGCAUAGCUGUUGGGACCCGAAAGAUGGUGAACUAUGCGUGAAUAGGGUGAAGCCAGAGGAAACUCUGGUGGAGGCUCGCAGCGGUUCUGACGUGCAAAUCGAUCGUCAAAUUUGCGUAUAGGGGCGAAAGACUAA
rnacentral:rRNA from 1 species